rnacentral:lncRNA from 1 species
AUGCAUGUAAAAAAAACUUAAAAAAAUAUAUAUAUUAAAUAUGCAAAUAUAUAAAAAUAUGCGAAUGUAAAUGUAUAGAAAAUAUAUAAUAAUAACGAUAGCGAAUAAUAUAAUAAUAAUACACAAUGCCAAAUAAUAUAAAAGAACUAAAAAAAUUGAUUAAGGAUCAAACUAAAAAAAGAAACAGAGUUUAAGGGCCAA